GACAGAGGGUGCAAACGUUGUUCGGAAUUACUGGGCGUAAAGCGUGUGUAGGCUGCUACAUAAGUCGGAUGUGAAAGCCCCGGGCUCAACCCGGGAAGUGCACUCGAUACUGCGUAGCUUGAGUCUCGGAGAGGUUGGUGGAAUUCUCGGUGUAGAGGUGAAAUUCGUAGAUAUCGAGAGGAACACCGGUGGCGAAGGCGGCCAACUGGACGAAGACUGACGCUGAGACACGAAAAGCGUGGGGAGCAAACAGG
rnacentral:rRNA from 1 species